GGGGAAUUUUCCGCAAUGGGCGAAAGCCUGACGGAGCAACGCCGCGUGAGGGAUGAAGGCCUCUGGGCUGUAAACCUCUUUUCUCAAGGAAGAAGAUCUGACGGUACUUGAGGAAUAAGCCACGGCUAAUUCCGUGCCAGCAGCCGCGGUAAUACGGGAGUGGCAAGCGUUAUCCGGAAUUAUUGGGCGUAAAGCGUCCGUAGGCGGUCUUGUAAGUCUGUCGUUAAAGCGUGGAGCUUAACUCCAUUUCAGCGAUGGAAACUGCAAGACUAGAGUGUGGUAGGGGCAGAGGGAAUUCCCGGUGUAGCGGUGAAAUGCGUAGAUAUCGGGAAGAACACCAGUGGCGAAGGCGCUCUGCUGGGCCAUAACUGACGCUCAUGGACGAAAGCCAGGGGAGCGAAAGGGAUUAGAUACCCCUGUAGUC
rnacentral:rRNA from 1 species